UUGAAGGUUGGGUAACACUAACUGGAGGACCGAACCGACUAAUGUUGAAAAAUUAGCGGAUGACCUGUGGCUGGGGGUGAAAGGCCAAUCAAACCGGGAGAUAGCUGGUUCUCCCCGAAAGCUAUUUAGGUAGCGCCUCGUGAAUUCAUCUCCGGGGGUAGAGCACUGUUUCGGCUAGGGGGCCAUCCCGGCUUACCAACCCGAUGCAAACUGCGAAUACCGGAGAAUGUUAUCACGGGAGACACACGGCGGGUGCUAACGUCCGUCGUGAAGAGGGAAACAACCCAGACCGCCAGCUAAGGUCCCAAAGUCAUGGUUAAGUGGGAAACGAUGUGGGAAGGCCCAGACAGCCAGGAUGUUGGCUUAGAAGCAGCCAUCAUUUAAAGAAAGCGUAAUAGCUCACUGGUCGAGUCGGCCUGCGCGGAAGAUGUAACGGGGCUAAACCAUG
rnacentral:rRNA from 1 species